GGUGAUGUGACUCAGUUGGUAAAGUGUUUGCCUAUUACGCAUAAAGCCCUAGGUUUGGACCCCAGCAAAACCA
rnacentral:tRNA from 1 species